rnacentral:misc_RNA from 1 species
GUAAGACAUUUUUCAAAGUCUUUAAUACAUUGAACUGUUUUUAAAGGGCUGGAUUCGAUGUGCUGGACUAUUUUAUUGUUUUAUAUUAGAAUUUGGAUUUUCCUGGGCUGUAUGAUCGCAUAUGAUUAUUUAACACUUUUGACAAAGCAUUCCCCAUACUAAAUCCUCUCUAGUCAUAUGCUAUAAUAACAUGACACUAUGUCAAGUUCUGCUGCACUCUUUCUUUCUUUCUUUCUUUCU